AGGCCCAUAUAGCAGGCAAACAGUAAGGACAAAGCAGGCUGGUCAUUUCCAAUUGUGCAACUGCAUCCCUAUGUACUCUGAGUUGAU